rnacentral:lncRNA from 1 species
CGUCACUAAAACAACAAAUAGCUAUCACACGUCAUCACACAAUCGUUACAAAAAAUUGUGGCAAUUUUAAAGAGUGAUUUAGUGCUGGAGUUGAAGCAAAGUGGAAGAAAUGCCUACUUCAUGUUGUGCUCCGGAAUGUGGAUCAGGCUAUUCUAAUGAUGGCAAAUAUAAUCAUAUUGUUUUUCGCCAGUUUCCCUCUAAAAAUGAAGAACUUCUUCAUAGUUGGGUUCGUGCUAUACCAAGAAAAACUAGGAUGCGAACAAAAAUUCAAGAUUAUGUAGCAACCAUUUCAAAAGAGGACUAUAAGGAGGGGACGACUGAUCCCAAUCCUCAUAGCCUCAUGCUAUUCCAUCUGUGUUUGAGAACAUUCCUUCUCUAUUAAUAAAAUCCCGUCCAGCUCCGUGAAAUACAACCUCAACUACAGAUUCGAGAUAUAAAAGAAGUUUGGAGCGUCAAAAAGAAUUCGAAAUGAGUUAUUUUGUAGAAAACAAAGUUUCGUCAUUAAGUCAGCUAAAAAAUAAUUUUGAUUUGUCUUCUUUGCCAUCUAACAUCUAUCUUAUAGAAGGCAUAGACAACUUACUUUUUCGCGUUAUUCAUGGAUUACCCUCUCAAAUUCAAUAUUCAUUCCAAAUUUUUGACUGUCUUACCUUUAAAUUACACUAUCGUGAUUCCAUAGUCGCUCUUAAUAAAUUUCAGCAUAUCUGUUCUUCUAAUAAAAUUCAAACUCUUCGUCAAA